rnacentral:rRNA from 1 species
UUGGUCAUUUAGAGGAAGUAAAAGUCGUAACAAGGUCUCCGUUGGUGAACCAGCGGAGGGAUCAUUACCGAGUUUACAACUCCCAAACCCAAUGUGAACGUUACCAAACUGUUGCCUCGGCGGGGUCACGCCCCGGGUGCGUCGCAGCCCCGGAACCAGGCGCCCGCCGGAGGAACCAACCAAACUCUUUCUGUAGUCCCCUCGCGGACGUAUUUCUUUACAGCUCUGAGCAAAAAUUCAAAAUGAAUCAAAACUUUCAACAACGGAUCUCUUGGUUCUGGCAUCGAUGAAGAACGCAGCGAAAUGCGAUAAGUAAUGUGAAUUGCAGAAUUCAGUGAAUCAUCGAAUCUUUGAACGCACAUUGCGCCCGCCAGUAUUCUGGCGGGCAUGCCUGUCCGAGCGUCAUUUCAACCCUCGAACCCCUCCGGGGGAUCGGCGUUGGGGAUCGGGACCCCUCACACGGGUGCCGGCCCCUAAAUACAGUGGCGGUCUCGCCGCAGCCUCUCCUGCGCAGUAGUUUGCACAACUCGCACCGGGAGCGCGGCGCGUCCACGUCCGUAAAACACCCAACUUUCUGAAAUGUUGACCUCGGAUCAGGUAGGAAUACCCGCUGAACUUAAGCAUAUCAAUAAGCGGAG